ACCAUUGAGAUACUAACUCUGACUGUGUAUGUUUUCUGCAUCCUCCUGAACGUGAUAUGUGGUUCCAAGUUUUCACAACGUGAUACUAUUUUCUCUGCGGUGGUUUUUGUGGUGUGCUGCGUCAUUCUUGUUGCCACUGUGGUGCUUGCUUGCAGAGCGCGUACAACUACCAGAAUUACACAGACCACGAAAGCAUAUAGAAAGUUACAGCAAUCAAACCAGAGUCACUAUGCUUCGGAUUGUGCUAUUUGCUUAUCACCAAAAGACCCAACACUUUCGCCAAUAGCAAAGCUGGGAUGUCACCAUGAUUAUCACAGAGACUGUAUCGAGGAAUGCUUCAAGAAGACACGAGACCCACGCUGCCCUAAAUGUCGCCGGGCUCACUCUGGUAUAUCCUCUCUGACGUCACAGUCUUGUCCAACUUCUCUUUCGGCACCUGUAGAGUCAAGUGUUAAAAGAGGGAUCCUGAUGUCAAUGGAGUCAAUUGUAUAGCAUUCGUUUAUUAUUUACUGCAGAACUGUGCUGAUGAACAAACCCGUCAUCAGAACCUGUCUCUAGGAGGAAGAAGGCUGCAGUUUAAAUACUACUGGUUUUCUCCAAAUUUGACUUGUUUGCAUGACCCUCUAUGGUUAGAAAGACUUUGUCAUUUCUUCAGUGUACACGAUGACGUCAUGAACUAUGUCGUUCAAGUGGGUUGAUUUUACUUGCCAAUGUGCGUUUGCGCUAAACUGUAAACGAAUAAGUAUAGUGUGAACUCUUACGAGGUUUUCUAUUAAAAAAAGGCAGAUUUUACCUUUUUUUCAAAAGUAUGUACCGAAACCAUUGCAAAUGAUCAUAUAUAUUUAGGCAAAUCCUGGUGCUGAGGCAAGAGUUAUAAGCCUUUUUUCAAGCUCUAUUAUUUGUUACAUUACAUUUCACAGAGGGUUAAAAAGAGAAUUGUUUUACUACUUUUAAGCAUACUAGUAUUGGAUAAUAUCUAAACCCCCAGUAAAAGAACAGUUUUGUUUUAAAUUAGAGAAAAUUUUAAAGUGAAUUUUCUAGCUCGAUACAGUUGAUAUUUUCUAUAGAAAGUUUGUGGUUAGAAAUGUCCAUAUUUUUUUUUUUUUAGAAUUAGAUAAAAUAAACAAUAGAUAUUGUCUAAGAAUUUCAAUUAAACGUGCCACCGACUGCCAGAAUUGAUCUUUGGCAUUCUCAUAAUUAUAUGCGAUCUGUUUGCUUUAAAAAUAUAUUUUACAUACAAGGAGUCGCCCUUGCAAUGAAUUGCGUGCGGUUUUUUUUUAAGGUAAAUAUUGUUGUAUUCAUUUAUUGGUUUUUGUUGUUGAAAUUAUUUGAUAUAUUUACAUGUAUAUAUUUUACGUAAUAAAUAUAUCACAC
rnacentral:misc_RNA from 1 species